rnacentral:rRNA from 1 species
CCUACGGGUGGCUGCAGUGGGGAAUAUUGCACAAUGGGCGCAAGCCUGAUGCAGCCAUGCCGCGUGUGUGAAGAAGGCCUUCGGGUUGUAAAGCACUUUCAGCGGGGAGGAAGGCGGUGAGGUUAAUAACCUCAUCGAUUGACGUUACCCGCAGAAGAAGCACCGGCUAACUCCGUGCCAGCAGCCGCGGUAAUACGGAGGGUGCAAGCGUUAAUCGGAAUUACUGGGCAUAAAGCGCACGCAGGCGGUCUGUCAAGUCGGAUGUGAAAUCCCCGGGCUCAACCUGGGAACUGCAUUCGAAACUGGCAGGCUAGAGUCUUGUAGAGGGGGGUAGAAUUCCAGGUGUAGCGGUGAAAUGCGUAGAGAUCUGGAGGAAUACCGGUGGCGAAGGCGGCCCCCUGGACAAAGACUGACGCUCAGGUGCGAAAGCGUGGGGAGCAAACAGGAUUAGAUACCCGGGUAGUC